AACUCCGGCCCCCAAUUAUCACCACCACCACCCUCCAUUCCCAGAUUUUGACUAUAUAAAGAUUUCCAAUUUCAGUUACCAGAAAUUAUUCGCACGCUAAAUCCGAUUGCUUGGCAUCUAAGGUAACAGUGCACACUCCCGCUCUCUCUAACUCCCCAAAUUUAGAAACCCACCUCUCUAUUUCCCCUAAUUUUCGUUUUCCCACCCCCACAAAACCCUAAUUUCCCUUCCGGAUCGGCCCCAAUUUGCCAAUUUUUUGCAAUUCCGCUUCUUGAUCCGAAGGUUAUUUGUUGUCUGUGCGGAAUGAAGAUCGAGGAGUUGGAGGCGGAGGGGGAUUGCGGCGUUCGGAACGACGCCGUUUCCGGGCGGCAGGUAGUUAGGGUUGACGAGGCUAAGAAAGCGCUUGUUGGAGCCGGGGCGCGGAUCCUUUUUUACCCGACCCUGUUGUAUAAUGUGCUUCGGAACAAGAUGGAGGCUGAGUUCAGAUGGUGGGACGAAGUUGACCAGUUUGUUCUGCUCGGUGCGGUUCCAUUUCCCAAAGAUGUUCCCCAGUUGAAGCGGCUGGGUGUUGGUGGUGUGAUCACUCUCAAUGAACCUUAUGAAACUUUGGUUUCAACAUCCUUGUAUCGUAAGUUUUAUUACCCUCCCAAUAAGACGAGUGAAAUCCAUUUAAAUCUUGUCUAUUUGGAUCCUACUUAUUCGUUUAAGAUGUUUGAGGGUUUUCAGGCCCAUGGAAUUGACCAUCUAGUAAUUCCCACGCGAGAUUAUCUUUUUGCCCCUUCAUUUGUUGAUAUCAACAGAGCUGUAGAAUUCAUUCACAAGAAUGCAUCAUGUGGUGAAAUUACUUACGUGCACUGUAAAGCUGGUCGGGGAAGGAGCACAACUAUUGUGCUUUGCUAUUUGGUGAAAUACAAGAACAUGACACCAUCUGCAGCCCUGGACUAUGUUCGGUCUAGAAGACCUCGUGUGCUGCUAGCCCCCUCACAAUGGAAGGCUGUUCAAGAAUACAGCAGAUGUGGACCAACUACCACAGCAUGUUCUCCCUCCGGAGAUGCAGUUUUAAUUACCCAAGCUGAUCUUGAAGGGUACCAUGGAACUUACGACGACACUGCUCGUAAGCAGUUGGCAAUUGUUUCUAAAAUGGUGAAAGCCAGCCCCAUGAUAGCUAGGUUAUCGUUCCUUUUUGCAUCCUUGAAAGUCACCGGAAAUUGUGGACCAGUCACGAGGCAGUUGCCUGUGCCGGAACCACGUGCUUGCUGAGCUCUCCCACAUAUCAUGCAAGUGUCAAGCGUUGUUUGCUUGUAGAGAAGAGCACGAAUGCAUAGAAGUUUUAUGAAGCGCUGGUGUUUCAGGUUGCAUCAUGUUUACGAGAGGGAGAAAGGUCUUUAAGAGGGUGAGGUGCCAUAAACUAUGUCAUGGAGACAAACUUUUGUCCGACCGGCUGUAUACGGAGAAUGACUUGCAUACGGAGAAUGACUUCAACAAAACAGGUUCACUAUUACUACGGCGUUUUGUUUAAAAAUAAAACAAUCACGUGUAUGUGGGACCAAAUACAGGCGACGUGUUAGUAAGGCUGCAUGCCACGUGGUAUGGGCGGAAGCUAGAAUUUGCCAUGGAUGGGUUACAAAAGUUAUCUUCUGCUUGGUUGUUAGAGGUGUCAUACAGAUGAUAUGGUUCUGCAUCCAACCUAAGAUUUGCCUCUAUUUCAAUGCAAUGGCCAACUAUUGUAGUUGUAGAGUUGGACCAUUUUGGUCUUUUUACACAGAAUGAGUUAUCUGUCCGGCUACAUUUCAUUACUAGAUUGUUUGGGUUAAUUUGUAGUGAUUUAUCGUGUGAUUUAUGAAUUCUAGGCCCAUUAGGGUCAUCUAUUAAAGCCCUUCUUCACUAACAAGGCCCACAUACUCUAUUUUGUAUGUGCCCAAAACUACUGAAAUUCAAAGACGUAGUUAGGCCAA